UCGCGGCCUCCCGGAACCGGAAGGCGCCCUUGCGGCCCAAGCGGCGGCCCUUCGCGACCUCGGGGGGCGGCGGGCACGCGACCCGCUUGCAGGCCGGGGCCUCCCGCUCUAGCGCACCUCCGACGCGUGCAGCUCGCACCGCGGGACCUCGCUGCCAGACAGGUAGAAGCCGGCGUCCAUCUGGAGGUCGCACGAACGCUUGAAACACUGGUCCGCGGACACCGGCGACCACCGCCCGCUGGGCCUGCAAAGCGCCAGGGUGAGAAUCUCCUGGCGACGCAAGUACCCCGGCCUGCACCGGAAGUCCACCCGUUCCCCGACAUCGUAGGCGGCUUUGGUCGUGCCCACCAGCUCCAUAUUGGGGAGUCUCAGGGCGCAGGUGCCCGAGUGGAGACGCCUCUGAAGCUUUCCCCAUGGCUGGUUCCUGGUUUCCUGCACCCCCGAGCAUGGGGCCCCUAGUGAGGAUUUUAAGGAAGGUUGGCUUGCACUUCCUCAUCAAGCUGUUGCACCUGAACACAUGGAAAUAGUGUUCCCACCCCAGGCCUCCUGACAGUGCCCUCCCUGUUCACCCAGCACACCUUGCUGAGCAGUCAGUGUACUUCCUCCUCCUUGAAUUUGUGUGUUGCUCUGCUGGUGUCCAGUGUUUACAUCACACUGGAGGAUUCACAGACCUCAAGCUGAAAUCUGAGAGCGUCCUUUUCUAAGCUAGCUCCAUCUCCUUCUCCUGCAAUUUGCUUCAGCCAUUGUAUAUUUUAUCGCUGUGAGACACAGACUUCCAUCUGUAUCUACUCAUAGCCUGAGAAAUGUUGUAGUCAUUUCAAUUUUCCAUAUCAAUCAGUCUGACAGUGUUUACUUCCUAAGUAAAUUAUGUUUCAAAGCUACAGAAUAAAGCAUGAGACAAUAUGUAUUUGACUGUGAACCUAAGUAAUCUUUGGAAAUUCCUUUCUUCUUCAUUCUUUUUAGAACUUUUACUAGUAUUGCUAGUGAGAGUUUCAUAUUUAUUUCAGGAACUUGUGUCUAUUUUGAGAUCUGUUAUUAGCUUCUUUCGCCUCUUCCAGCUUUAUUGAAAUAUAACUGACUAAUAAAAUUAUAUAGAUUUAUAGGGAACAUUAUAUUUCAGGCACAUUAUCAUACAAUUACCACAAUCACAUCAUUGUGAUACAUAUCACUCACAAUGUUGCUUUCUGUUUUUGAUCAGAAUACUUACGAUUUACUAUCAGCAAAUCUUAUGUAUUUCAUAUCGUACACAGUGUAGUAUAGGAGCCGUAGUCACUGUCUUGUUCACUAUUACCCCAACGUUUGUCCCGAUGCAUGGCUGAAAACUUAACCUUGACCAGAGGUCUCCUCACUGCCCUCCGUCCCACCUGGGCACAAUCACCAUUUUGCCCUCUGUGAUUUCACCUUUUCAGGAGGUCAUGUUUAACACUUUUAGCCUUUCCAACACUGGCUGUCAAGAGCAUGCACUAUUGCAAAUGCGAUUAUUUCCUUUCUUGAAGGUUAAAUAAUAUUCACUCAUCUAUGUGUGAUAUUUUCUUAUCCUUUCAUCUACCAGUGAACCCUGGUUCCUAUGGUGGCUCUAUUCUGAAUUUUGAAGAAUCUUCACCACUGUCUUUGAUAAUGGUGAUAACAAUUUGCGUUUCCACCAACUGAGAACAAGGGUUUCCCUUUGUCCAAUUCCUGUCAACAACGCAUGUUAUCUUCCACCAUUUGUGAAAGAUACUAAUGGCCCUUCUAACAGUUGUGAGAGGUUCUCUCUCUGUCAUUUUGGCUUGAGUUUCCCUAAUUAUUUGAGUGAGGAGAAUUUUUUCAAGUAUUUCUUGAACAUUUUUUGUAUGCCUUAUUUUUGAGAAAUGUUUUUUAAGGUGCUUUACUCAUAUGUCCUUCCUAUGACACAAGUCAUCUUUCCACACAGUUUACUUUUUUCCUUUGCUUUUCAGUAGAGUUUUGAUGCUGUCAGGUUUUUCUAUUUCUGAUUUUGUUGCUCAUGAUGUUGUAAUCAAAUUUAAAAAAUAAUUGUCACUGAAUCUACAUUUUAUAAUAAAUGAACAUUUUACUAUAUUAAUUUUUAAU
rnacentral:lncRNA from 1 species